rnacentral:lncRNA from 1 species
GCGGCAGCAGGGUUGGGCUCUCGCCGUGAGUCGACGAAGGGAGCGCGGGCGCGCGCCCGCGUCCGCGCACUGAGAGUCGCCUCGGCCGCUCGCUUUCUCGACUCCCGCCUCGCGCCUCGAUCCUGUUCCGCCUCCCUCGGCCCUCCUGCCCGCCCCCACUCGUCGGCCCUCAGCUCAGAGACCUAAUAGGAUGGGGUCUUAGAGAAACAUCUUUUGAGCCACAGACUUCUUUGUUACCAGAAGGAAAAUGAAAGAAGAAAUUUAAAUACCACUUGAAGAGAGGUGCUGCCCAGUUCAUGAGUGCUGCUGCUGUCCUGCCCAAGUACCCAGCUUGCAGAGUGCCAGAGUUAGAGUCCCAGGGGUGUUCUCCACAGCUGCAUGCUUGAUCCAGGCCUAUCAGUGAACCAGCAUCUUGCCCUUCAGACCCUACAGCACACUCUUGGGCUCAUGAAGUGUAUGACACAUCCUCCUUGGGGGAUCGGCCAUGUCCUCGCUCUCAUGACCACAUGAAUUCUUCUGUAUGUCUUUUCUCACAGCUGAGUACUCUCUUCCUGACCCCCUUGUGGAAUGGGGAAAGGAGGCUGUGACAUUGUGCUUGUGCAAACAAUAAUUGAGAGCUUUCCGAGUCUCCUGCAUCUUCAUAAAUGAUUUUUUGUUUUAUGCUGGGACAGUAGUUCUUUAAAUAGAAUAUUCUCCCAUGGAAAUCGCCCACAAUGCUGAGAGUACACCUUGCAAAAGGUAAGUCUAGAAUAUAGGGUGCCUCCUCAGCAUUGCCCAGAAGCUGAAGUUAGGACUCUCUAGAAUACCAAAAACAAAUUUAUAGCAGUUCAUUAAUGUAAGGAAUUAUGAAAACUGUGUGCCACCAUUAUCCAUAGAUGAAACAAGAGCCACCACGCAAGCACAGACACAAAGCCCUGAAGAUGAAGCCAUUGACAGGGCUCUCAUUUAUUCUGUAGAAACCCACUUGCCUGUUUUUGAACCAGUUUUCUUUGGAGCAUAUGUCUCACUGUGCAACCAAAGUGGUGUUUAUAUCCUAGUCACUUGGCAAAAAUUCUGUCAUUGCUUCAGGGAGAUCCAUUUUAGGCCUGAAGCAUGGAGCUGGUAAUAGAUGGGAUUUGGUACUUCUGAAGAAAAGACCCUACUGCAAAUUUAGAGAGUUAAUUUUUUCUUUUGUUCCCCAUAAUAUUGUUGCUAGAUAGAACUACCUUUUUUGACUAGAAGUUAAAUAUAGAGGCCUAAAUCAAUUAGGUAACUCCCACUCAUUCUAAAUGAGAACAUGUUUGUUUUUCUCCAACGAGAUGAGAAAUAUUUGAGGCGCUUCCUGAUAUCUCUAUCACCCACUGCAUUUUUUCACUUGAUGUAUAUUUCCCCAUGUAUUUGGGAUAAUUUUCAAAUAAUUGCCCUUUAGAAAUCUACUUGAUAUUAAAUGUAAAAAAAAAGCAAGAUGCAAAAUUAUUAUAGGAUGCAUUUACAGAAAUUACAAAAUUUCUAUAAACUAUUUAUGGAGGAAGACUUAUAGAGUAUAUGUCAACACAUUGCUUUAUUAUUGUCCUUGGUUAUGAGUAUGGUUUUUUUGAAACCUGCUUUGUACUUUGGGUGUUUUCUCACCAUUGGUACAAUUGAGGCAUUUUUCCCUCUUCUUCAACCUUGCAAAUCACACGUGAGGAUGCUCAUAGAAGUGCCUCUCAGACAGGCUGUUGUUUUGCUUUCACCAAUAAAUCAUUUAUAAUUAGAAGUAGAAAACUAUUCUUUCCAGUGCAAAUACAUCCCUUUCAAAAGCAGUUCUCUUUUUGUGAAUGAUGUCUAGUGUCUAAGAAACGAGGGUAACCUUUAUUAUAUGCAUUGCUCUAAUCGAAGCAUUGUUUUUUGCGGUGAACUCAAGGUUACAUGUUUAAGAAAAGCAUCGGGUUAAUUCCAUUAGGAAAAGUGUCUUAUUCAUAAACCUUUAGCCACUGGAAAAACACCAUUAGGAGGCCACACAAGUGUGUAUAGCUGGAUAGAAUUUGACAACUGGCAAAACAAAACAAUAGCCUACAAUUGCAGAGUGCUGUCUGUUUAAAAACCAACAUAUCUUUCACCAACAAAUACAUAUUCACCUCAACACGAGACUUUCAUGUGGUUAUUAAUAUCAAAUUUUUGAAUGUCCAAAUUUUGGAGUGUAGUCUAGCAGAGGUAAACUGAUUUGCCUAAGGUCCUUCAACUGUCAGAGGUAGAAUUAUUUUCUCUCUCCUGGCUCUAAAACCUGUCCAGAUUCUCCUGCAACACUGUCCUUCAAAAACACACUUCCGCUGACUCCAGUGCUGGUGAUGUCAUGCUUUAGCUAGUAGUUAGAGGUGACUUAACUUUAAAUAUGGAAUCUUUUUUUCCUAUUAAGCAAUGAGGUUUAGUUUGAAAAUUCUUAGAGAUGAUAAACCCCUCUCCUUUUUUUCUUCCUUCUCCUCUUUUGUCCUGAACAAUGUUCCAUAUAUAUUACUGCCAGAAACAGAUUCUUGACAUUCCUGUUAUGCUUUUCCACAUCUUGUAAUCAUUUCUACAGCUGUUAGCAUUGCCAACAAUUAUAUUUCCACUUUUAAAAAAUUGUUACAAAGAUGCAGAGAGAAAAGAGGAAAGCCAAGGAAUAAACUACAGGCAAUUAUGGGAUAUUUUUGUGAUGUGACAUUUUGGGAACUGAGGCAGCAUCACUGAUACUGCACUACUUUUUAAUAUCUAGAUUUUAAUCUUUUGUAUGAAGAUAAAAUUCACAUGCCUUAAACCUGACCACAACAUAAUAGGGCAUUUAUUUUUCUAAUUUUGAUACCAUCCACAUUUCUUAACUAUAAGAAGAAUGCUUAUGUUGUACCAGGUUAUAUGAUGUUGCCAAGAAGUAGAUGUGUACCAUUUACUAAUACAUCCUUUUGGAAAAUGCGUAUUAAUAACAUAUUAAGGAGUAAAUUGACGUUGUGCAAAGUGAGCCUGUGAGUUUAAAUGUAUGGAUUGUACACCUUGCUCUUCCUAAUUGCAGAUUUAACAGGAUUUGAUGACCUAAUGAGUUUAUUUCUGAAUGAUUUAUAUUUCUUUGUCAGUUCAAUGAUUUAGUAUUUUAAAUUUUUUUAAAUCACAUUUUAUUGAGAUAAUGCUAUUAGUGUUUCUUUCCCAUCACUUAACAAAGUUAAGUCACUCCUCUCCCACCCCACUUUUGUACCUACCAAUGUUUUUUUCACAGUUACAGGCUGAUUGGCUUGACGUGUCUUAGGAUACCACCCAAAGAGAGCUUCAUUUUAUAAAUACCAAGCUCAUUUUCCUAAAUAUUUUCAAAAAGAUAGAUUUAUCCUCAUAUAGUAAAUUCAGAUUAAUAAUUUUGGAAAGGGUCAUGUGACCAUGGUAUUACAUGGCUGUGGAAGACCCUCCAAGAUCUUGUUUUGGGAUAGAAGGACUCAGACAUCCAAACUUUUAAAUUAAUGAACUUAUUAAAUUCUAAAACUUUGUAACAGUGUUAAUUUGAGAAGUAUAAUAUUUUGCUUAAGGUCUGUUUUGCUUUGCAAAAUGCAUCUCCUUCAUUUUCAUAUUAUGUUGGAAGCUUAGCAUGAAAGAACGUGCCUCAGAGGAAACCAUAGGUAAGCAUACUUUAACAAAAGUUAGUGUCAUCAUGUUUGUGUCUUUGCCUGUGGUUUUUUAAAUGUAUAAUGUUUAACGUUGAUUUGGCUAUCAAAUUACAUUUUCUUUUGUUAAAAAAUUCUGUAAAUUAGAAAUGUACUGAAUCAUUUAUUUAGCAGACUGAAGGUGGGUAAUGUUGGCUGAACAGGUUUAAGCCACAGU